rnacentral:lncRNA from 1 species
GAGAGGGAGUAUAAUCAGCAGCCUGAUGACCUAGAGGGAGGAGAGGGAGUAUAAUCAGCAGCCUGAUGACCUAGAGGAAGGAGAGGGAGGAUAAUCAGCAGUCUGAUGACCUAGAGGUCAGAGAGGGAGUAUAAUCAGCAGCCUGAUGACCUAGAGGGAGGAGAGGGAGUAUAAUCAGCAGCCUGAUGACCUAGAGGAAGGAGAGGGAGGAUAAUCAGCAGCCUGAUGACCUAGAGGUCAGAGAGGGAGUAUAAUCAGCAGCCUGAUGACCUAGAGGUCAGAGAGGGAGUAUAACCAGCAGCCUGAUGACCUAGAGGAAGGAGAGGGAGUAUAUGUGACAGUAAAUGGAUCCUGAUUAAAAGAGAACACCAAUCUGUCUGUAGGCUACCCAGUUAUCAACUUCCAUAGGCAUAUUGUUGCAUUGUUCUACAAAGUAAAACAAGAGAGAGCUAAGCUUUUGGCACGAGCGCAUCGGCCAUCGCCGGUGAGUGAGCUGAGCAUCAUUGGGUGAAUCAGUGAAACUGGAAAGCUUUUUUAGGACGAUCAUUUCCUCCUAAUAAUGUACAAUAUGUGUCUCCACACGCCUAGGUAACAGGCUAUUGGUGGACUGAAGGUCAUUGUUAUUGGUCUCAGAUUGUCAGUUUGUCAGUGUCAUAGCAGCCUGUCAUUUCCAUCAUUUGUGAGCUAUUAAAAAAUGAUCUGCUAAAGUCUCCAGUCAUCUCAAAUGAAUUGCAUGAAAUGCUUUUAUAAAGGCCACAUUUUCCCCAACACGCAGGCUACAACAAUGUUUUCCCAUGUGUGCAACUUCUGCAAGCGCCUCUACACAAAA